rnacentral:lncRNA from 1 species
CAUAAACAUGCCUUGCAUACAUAUGCUACUUUUUUCCAAAAGUGUCUUCAUAAUAUCAUGGUGAAUAAAACACAAAGUUAUCUUUUUAAACAUAUUGAAUUCACGGAAGCCUUUUUUAUUCUGUAUUUUCUUUUUCAAUAGAUACCAAAAAUACAAUUAUUGUCAUGUCGGAGUCGGGACUUUUUUUUUUAAUAUUGAAAAGAAGUCUUUAUAUUUAAAAAGAAUGCCACCCUCUCAUCUAGCCUGGAGGAAAGAUGUUUUGGAGGCAUGAAAGACACACAUGAAAGUGAGAGGGAUUAGUGGGGGACUGUUCAGUGUAUACCUGAAAUAGUCCAUUUUAUUUUGCACUGGAAGAAGCUGGGGUUAAUACGAGCUCUGAGUGUACAAGUUUAAUGUAAAAUAAAGCAUCCUCAUCCUGCCCUUCUCAAGAGUGGCCCAACAUCAUUCUUAACUUAAGUAAACUCAAAGGGAGACAGUCCCAGGGACCUGUUUGGAGCUUCCGGGAUAGGUAGUUUAUCCACUGUCCCUCCAACAUAACGGUAGCUCUGAUUCCUGUAAAAGCGACAAUAUCGCCCUCUGUCAUGAUAAUUAGCAGUCAAAAGAGUCAUCCAUUUCUUUAUCAGCUCCAAAGAAGAAAGGGUAAAUGAUAAAGUAACAUCCUUGCCUAAAAUGGAUGAAAAUAAUGGCCAACUGCUUAUCUUUGUAGUGACUCAUUGCAUCAAGCUGACCUCUGAAUAGAGUAUGCAUAGGCUGUUUGUACAUUCUCCAUCAAAUGAUUAAGAAGUGAAAUGACAAUGACCAACCACUGUCCCUGACAUUUAUUAUAUAUGAACAGCAUUUAGGAGAUGAAAGACCAGGUAGCAGUGAAACAACUGUGAAGACGCAAGACUGAAAGCACCAACAGUGACAUUCAGCUGCUCAGUUAUGCCAGAAUAUGAUUAGUGCCCUCUCGUUUGAGACUUUAAUUUUAAUGUAGGCUCAAGACGGGAAAAGGCCACCAUCAUAUCAUGGUGAGAUGGAUAUUCAACUUGGAGUCAUAUGUCCUGGUUCUGAGUCGUUGCUCUGACAGUUAAAACUCGUUGAUCUUGAGCAAGUCAUGUAAUCUCCCAGAGUCUCAAUUUUCCCAUCUGUAAAUAGGAAAUAACAAGAAUUUCUCCUUCACUACUUUAGUUAGUUGUGUGGUUCAAUUGACAUAAUGAGUAUUGUAAAAGUAUUUCAUAAAAUGUAAAACAUCAUGCAGAUGUUUGCUACUAUCAUUGCAUUAAUCAUCAAUGACCUUACUUAGUCCAAAAUAGUGCUGCCCGGAUCAUGUCUUCACAACCUUUAAGUUCUGGCUUUGGAACAUCCCAAGUCCCCAUCGCCAGUAUAUAUUUACUGUAGAGCCCAAUAGUAGUCAUAUGACUUUAGCUUAAAGGUAAUUGCACAUACAUCUUUGCAGAUAUCUAUAAACAAAGAGUGGAGAGGAAAAUUGCCAAAAAGCUGGGGAGAGUCAAGUCUGCUAUUAAUGCAAAAAUCAUGACUUUUUGGUAAGGUCGAUAAUAAAGGGUUUUUAAAAGUUUUGGAAAAAUGGAGAUAUUGGAACCCUCAGGAAGCUUGUCACUAGGAGGGAAAAGUGCCCAAACAGUAGGUGAAAAAGGACGGCAGGGCACAAUGUGAGAGCCAUGAGAAGCUGCCAAGUGCUGCAAGUUGCCAACAGUGUGCAUGGAAGUUGUCAACAGUGUGCGUGGAAGUUCCCCUUGCUUUCUGGUAGAGCGUGGCGUAGAUGAUCAAAAAUCCCAUGUAAGGUAGGGGAAUGUUACUAAGUGUCUCAGAACUGAGGCCUUACCACCUUAGCAUCUUUAAUGGCUCCCAGAAUGCUCACUCUAGAGGUUACCAGCACCAUGUAUAAUUCUCGAGAACUCCCAUCUCUUCCACCUGCUUUGUCCUGCUCCAUACAUGAGGUCUUUUUGGUUCUAUAUUUGUUAAUAUUUGCAUUUUGGUUUCUGGUGCUCAGACUGCAACCCAGACAAUGCUGCCUUUGUGCUAUGGCUUUCUGGAUUGCAACCAUGAGCAUAAAGUUUCAUAUCCCAGUGCUCAGUUCAGGCCUGCCAGACCCACAGCAGUUUCCACAAAUGGCCACCACCACACACCCUCCACACCUGGGAAGAGAGAUCCUGCAGAGAUGUUUAUGAUGAUACAGGGUGGUAUCAUAAACUUGAUUAUGUAGGAGUUUACUCAGGACAGAAUGAAUCAUUUCCAUCAGUGAAACAGAGUUCCUGCUGUCCGCUUCUAGAUACCACCUGCAUGCCUUUGUCUGUGGACCCUUCCUUCAACUGAAAGCAAGAAGUGUAGCAUCUUCAGAUAUUUCUGUUGCUCUCCUGCCUCCCUCUUUCACUUAUAAGGACCCUUGUGAUUCCAUUGGGCCCACCUGGAAAUCCACUUUGGCCAUGUAAGGGUAGAGACAUUUGCUUAGAAUGAAAUGGAUUCCGAAAUAAUCACUUUCAUCUCCUAAAUGAGCCUACCCAGGAAGAAAAAGCUAUGAAGCCAUCAAUGCAACCCCCUCCCUGUUCCUCACCGAAGUAUUAAAACAAAAUGUUUGCAACCCAAGGACUUCAUUUCUGAGAGGCCUCUUCUUCUAGGUUCCAGGCACCGUGAAGAUACAAUGGCGACAAGAUAUUCCAGACUCUGUCCUCACAUAGUUUCAAGGCUAGUGAGAGAGACAGACAUUAAUCAAAUAAUAGAAGAAACAAAAAAAAUGAUUAUGAACUGAGAUCAGAAGUUCAGGGCUCUGCAGGAGCACAGAACAGGAGCCUCUCAGCUAUGCUGGGAUCUGAAGGUGUCUAACAGUGGUAUUGGAGACUGCGCGGCUCCUGAGCGAGGCUCCGGUAACAUCGAAGCAGAGGAAGCUUUGCUGCCUUCGGGGAUCAUCUUGUCAGUUAUGCAGCUUUCCAAUUUUACGGCUGAGAUCAAGAAUGAUUCCUUAAAGGCACAUGGGAAACACAAUGUGUCUUAGAAUGAAAUGUGGGAAAGUGGACGUGAAUUUGCUACAUGGCCAAUACUGUAGGGCUUUUCGCUGAGAUGGAGGUAGCUCUGUGCGGCAGUCCCGGAAGACUUUCACAAGAAGAGUUCAGACAGUAGAAAAUAAUCCUAAAUGAUUGUGCCAUGGGCUUCCAUUGAAAGCUGGUCCUGACCUAAUCAUGGGAGCCCUUUAAAGGCAGAGAGUUUUCUUUGGCUGCGUAGAGGUGGAGGAGGAGAACGGGGAAGAAGAGG